GUUUUAUGCUGCGUUCCAGACACAGGUUUUAGCCAGUAAGUUACGACUUCAAGUCAGAACUCACGACUUGGUAGCGUUCCAGGCAAAGUCACCACAAGCCCUUCUAGCUAUCGUUAGCGCUAGCUAGCGGCUAACUAACGUUGACGUUAACUACCGCUAGCUGAUACUAGCGAUUUCUAGUCUGCUACAUAUUUUUGGCUUCAUUAAUAAACAUAACCUGUAGUAGUACACAAUCGUAUGUGUAUUGUUUUGAUUACAAUGUGUGGAAUUACUUUAUGUUGCCUAUUUAUAUCGCUUCUCACGGCGUCUGUACGGCAUCAACAGGGGGCGCCAUCGUUGUUUAUGUGUGUGACGUCAAAACUAUACCUGAGAGUACAACGAUCUGGUUCAAGAUCACUGGGAG